rnacentral:lncRNA from 1 species
GUAAUACCUAUCUUUUAGUGCUCUGCUCUUAAUCAACCCCUAGGGUGAGGGAGAUUGGAAAACUAAGAAAAGAAAAUAUAACAUAAUUCUUACCCUCAAACAGUUGCAUCGGCUACAAAGAUAGCCAUAUAACAAUUGACUGACCAUACAAGAACCAUAAGGAAUUAAAUAUAAAGUAUGUAAUAUUGAUGGUAAGCACAAAUGUAAUUCAGAUGAGUAGGAAUCAGUAUUACUGGUCAAGUUGAAGGAGGUUGGUCCUGGAGUAAUUAUAUUUCCAUCCUGGAAAUUUACAUUAGCCUUUUUCAGUAUCCUGCUAAAAUUGCCUCCUUGUUCGUGUUUCACCUUUGCCACCGGCCACAGCCUUUGGACAAGUCCUGCCCUGCACUGAAGAAUUCACAUUUGUGAUGUAGCUCCUCUUGCUGUCUCUUGUAAAUCUCUCACAGAUAGUACUAGCUUGCAGAAAGUGAUUUUUAUGGACUCGGCAGCAGGCUAGUUUCAAACUAGAUUACUUUUGAAGUUAGGAAUGUAGGCGACCAGUAGAACACUGACUUAAAAAGAAGAUUCAGACUGGGAUUUAAUAUAUGUCAAGGAAAAGAAAUCAGAGCUACGAAUAGAUGGAAAUUCUUUUCUGACAGCCCAUGGCUGCUUCUAUCUUGAACUUGCAUAGGUGACCAUGUAGGUGCUGGUGUUCAUUUGUAUCAUCUUAUGAAUAUUUUCUGUAUGUGAAUGUUUCCUAGGGCUGCCAUAACAAAUUACUGCAAAAUUGAUGUUUUUAUUCAAGAGAAAUUAAUUUUUCCAGAGCUCUGGAGGCUAGAAGUCGGACGUCAAGUUGUUGCAGGGCCAUGCUCCCUCUGCAGGCACUAGAGGAGAGUUCUUGGCUCUUUUAGUUCAUCGUGGCUGCAGGUGUCUCUGCCUGUGGAAUCAUAAGUCCAACAGCUGCCUCUGUCCUCAUGUGCCCUUCAGUGUGGUUUUCUUCCUCUGUGUGUGCCUUCUGGUCUUUUUUUUUUUUUGGUACCGGGGAUCGAACUUGGGUCCUUGCGCUUGCACAGCAGGCGGCGAAACCACUGAGUUAAACCCCCGGCCCCAAAUCUUGUUUGUUUGUUUGUUUGUUUUUUCCAGUACCGGGGAUUGAACUGGGGACCUUGCGCCUUGUAAGGCAGGCAGCAGAACCACUGAGCUAAACCCCUGGCCCUCGUAC